UAAUUACAUUUUGCAGUUAAUAUUUUGUACUAGUUUCAGGUGUACUGCAUAGUGGUUAUCAUAUACUUUAAUCACAUACUUUACAAAGUAUCUCUCCCAACCCCCCAACCCUCACUGCAAUAUUGCCAGGGAGUCUAAAACCCACACUGCUCUGAAGAUGGGUAUUUGGGUUUCAUCUUUGUAAAAGCCACCAAAAAGGCAGCUGCCUAAGAGGCCACAGACUUAGAGGAGAAGAUCCAGAAGGAACUGAAGCAAAGGAGACUAGAGCUGGGAGUUGAGAGGUGGAGCCAAGGACUGAAAACCAGAGCUGUGUGAUCAAAUAGGAAACUUCUACACAGCCUCUGCCCAGACCCACCACCUACUGGGACCUUAAAGCGAAAGUGCUGCUUGCUGUUUCUGUGGAGACAAUUUGACCUUUGAACAGAAGGCUGGCGUGUUUUGAACAAUAUAAAUUAGCGUGUUUUGAAUGAAUGAUACAAGUUAGAGGGCAACAGGCAAGUGUCCGUGCGUGCAGUCGGCUCAACAUGCAUUCUGCUCCAGACUGCUUCCUGCAGGGGAAUUCAGGGCAAUUGCUCCGAGAACACGAGAACAGGUUUCUGCCCAAGCCAGAGCCGACCGACCAGGACUCCCGAGGACCAGCCCUUCACCCUGGGGACUCGGUCUUCCUUAAGAACCUACAUCCACAAGCCUUGGAGCCUAGGUAGACGGGACCUCACACUGUAAUCCUCACAGCCCCCACCGUGGCCAAGCUGCUUGGCAACCCCAGCUUGGCAACCCAUCGUGGCACCACCUCUCCAGACUCAAGAGGACCCUGGAACAGCAUGACUUCUAUAAACGUGAG